rnacentral:lncRNA from 1 species
CCUUUAAAAUGCAGAGUCCCUUGCAGAUAACUUGGCAGAGUAAACAGCAUUGCCUGGGAGGAGAUCAGGCCUUUUGCUGGAGGGUAUCUUUCCCACUGGGUAGCCAACAUGCUCUCCUGGGAAGAAGCAGAAUUCCAACAUGCUGUUAAGUUGUCCUACUCCAGCAUUCAAGGGGAUGCUCCCCGGAAUUUCUCCCCAAAUCCCACCGCAUUGGAACCCACACCAUCUGGUUGGCUAGAAUUUCUGUGAACCACUCACAAGAGAAUGGGUUCUAAGUAAGGUCGGCAGUCAAGUGAAACUCGGAAUCAGUGAACUAUCUAACAGUGUAAUCAAAGAACGGGUUAGUACCCUCCCAGGGCAAUGUCGGAAUAGCAGUAGUGGGUUUAUGUUUUGGCAAAUUGUCAAAAGUAUAGAAAAAUCCAGUGUCAUCUACAUGCAUAUGAUAGUCAAAGUUUAAAGAGCUUUUUCUUUCAAUUGAAAAAAAAA